rnacentral:lncRNA from 1 species
CCGUUAUUCAAUUUAUUUUUAAUAUUCACACUAUAUAGAUUAAUCUAUAUAUGAGUGUUUUGUGGACGAACAAAAUUAAAAUCCUGGUACAUGUAUCUAUGAUGAUUCGUUUGGGAAUCAAUUAUUUAACAUAAUUUCAAUAGACAGGAAUUUUAAAUUACACUCCUCCAUUCAAAUUUAUUUACGUAAACAUUGCAGCAAGUGCGACAGGAAAUAUCCAUUCAUGAACACAAAUUCAUGGAUCUGCAUUGUUAUUAUAUCUUCGAUGUAAUCAAAAUUAAUUCAGCAUCAAAAACAAAUAGGAUUUUCCUUUUUCAAUUUUCACAUUUUGCAAGUCUCUUGGGUUUGUUGGGGGGUUUUGUGCAGUUAAGCGGAUUUAAACAAAUUUUACACAUUUACGAGUAUUAUUUCCAUUAUAUUGGGCAACUCAAAUUCUUUAUUUUCUCUUAUCACCAGCAGUCUAGUAAACGUGUACAAAUGAAUAUAAAAAUCUACCGAAGAUAGGGCAUCAAAGUCAUAAUCUUUACUGUUAAAAGAAAACAAAUCCCAGGAAUAAAUGAAAAUGUAACAACUUUUAUUAUUGAACAUGAACAUAUAUAUAUCAACAUCAAAAUUAUAAACAAAAUGGAAUUCUUACAAAAUUGUAUGAAGAUAUGUGACUAUAUACAUUAGAUUCACUUUACAAAUGCAUGGUCUCUCAAACAUUUAUAUCUUUUUUGUAUAAGAGAACACUUGAAAUUCCAAAAUACCAAAAUUAGAACUUUCAAAUGUAGAAAAAUACAAAAGCAUUUUGUAUUUAGUGCAAAACAUUUAAUCUUCGAUACAAUAAAACAAAUAACCAAAACCGAACUGAAUUCAUAUUGUUUCUAUGAAAGCAUUCAUGCAUUUAAUACAGAAUGUAUUUGGUCUUACAUUAUGUAUGCUAUUUACAAAACUAUGCAUGUUUAUGCAUGGCAAUAUAAAGCAAGAAAGAUAUCAAGAUAAUAAAUGGUAAGUAAGAAGAAUGCCGCUUAAAGUUCUCUAUCCUCGUAAGACUGUUUCAAAUAAAAAACUAAUGAAACAAUACAACAUGAUUAAAAAUAAACAUAUGAAUGCUACAAGAUAUAAAUCAUAAGCUUUUAAUGCUUAAAUGAAACAUUUUGAUUUCGUAGAUUCUGUCAAGUGUUUAUUAUCAGAGGGUGAACACUAGUCAUGGGUUUUCCUUGUUUACCUAAUUGCCAAUUCAAAGGCAUAUCAUAUCAUGAUUUGUUCCUACCAUUAUAAAUAUCAACAUUUCAAAAUCAAACUGUUUGAUACCCUUAUUUAAAAUUAAUUAGAAGUUUUACAUUGCAUAGACCUGCUAUAAUGCUGGCAUAUUUGAUUAAUUUUCAUUACCUUGUAUAAUGAGGUAUUACAAAACCACAAUCUCACUUUUCAAUUCAUUAAGCUCUCUUUUUUAAUUUUUAUUAUAAAAGCAUUAAAUAAGGAGCUCCAAAAAUACAUGUAUGUAUAAGCAGUUCAUUGAUAUGUUAAAAAAAUAGAAUUAUAAUCUAAAUAUUAUGCAUUUUGACAAACGCUUAAAUUUAAGCAUUUAUAAAAUAACAAAAAUAACAAAAUGUAAUCUCACUGUAGAGUUGUUAAUAUCCAAUGCAUAUACAUAUAUUGCACGAAAACCCCAAAAUUAACUCUGGGAAAAUCGAGCAGCCAAAAAUUCCUUGAAAUGUCACUUUUACAUCAAAUAUAUUCACUAUUGCACAUAUGUCUUUGUUGCACAAUUUUGGUCAGCUGCAGUCCAAUUUUUUUCAAAACCAAAAGGCUUUAUAUCAGGAAAGACAGUACAUUUGAUACCCGGGUAUUGGAUGAUAUUAAAAUGAUUAUGAAUAAGGAGUAUGUAAGUCUUGUCAACAGACAAUACUUCCUAUUUUGACAUUAGAUGUCGGUUAAAGUAUUAGGUGAUCAGAAAGAUUUUUUCCCCCAUAUGUUUGCAUUUUCUUCAGUCGCUGUAAGAAAUGGUAAUUUAUUUUUCAAGCAGUGCGAAUGAAACUCUACCAGAAGAUAUUAUUUACUUAUAAACAGAAAUAAGUUAUAAAACAAUGGAGCGCAAUGCCAACAACAGAAAAAUAAUUAGAUAAUAUAUAACCCUUAAUCUGAAGUGAAAAUAGACAAUGAACAAAAAAUGCUAAACGCAAACCCGGACAAAAAUCGAUAAAUACAUUAAUAUACAUAUACAAUUAUUUUACACAAGCAAGCACUAUAUCAUCAUGAAAAGAAAUGGCAAA